CUUCCCACACGAUGUGUCAUGCCAGCCUUGUAUCCCAGGAAAGCUGUGAGGUGGACCAGUUUAGAAGGGUCAUCACUGGGGAAGCUCUUCACCUUGCCAUGAUGCCUACUGCUGUGUUUCCAAGGCAGGAAGCCCGGGGACCCAUGUCUUGGAGCAAAUCACCAAGUGAUUUGAUAGAGAUUUCUUUAAAUUACUGGAGCCAAAAAAGAGAAAAGACUUCCUUGGUUUUUACAGAUUGACUCUGGGUUUGGAUAUACAUGCAACACUUAUUCCAGAUGUUGACAACUCACCC
rnacentral:lncRNA from 1 species